rnacentral:misc_RNA from 1 species
UCUCCGUAUGUGAACCUGCGGAGGGAUCAUUACUGAGUGAGGGCUUCGGUCCGACCUCCAACCCUUUGUGAACCAAACUUGUUGCUUCGGGGGCGACCCUGCCAUCGUGCGAGGCGCUCCCGGUGGCCAAUUAUUAAACUCUGCAUCUCUUGCGUCGGAGUCUUAAAGAAAUUUAAACAAAACUUUCAACAACGGAUCUCUUGGUUCUGGCAUCGAUGAAGAACGCAGC